rnacentral:lncRNA from 1 species
CCCCCCCCACCCCCUUCUUUUUCUUUUCCUUGCAGAAGCGGGGAAAAUGGACAACCCUGCUGGUAGCUUGUGAGCCCUUGUCACAGAACUGAGCUUGAACAAUUUCGAUUAAAGCUGUAUGUUCGAGACUGUCAUUAGACCUGCAUUAAAUUACAUAUCUGGAAUGUUAAAAAUAAAGAGUACUGAAGCUUAUUCACAGCUGCCUGUGCCCUCCUUGUCGUGGUGUCUGAGUGCUUUUGGGCAAGACAUGGCUUUUUUCAAGUGUUACGAUGUGCCUGGCUGGACCUGUGCCGCUCACUGCAUUGCCUAGCCACGAUUCAUGGAUUACACUGCCCAGGACGACCACAGAAUCGGCGAGCCACGUUUCUGCAGGGUUCAACACACUCGCUUCACGUUUUUGGAGGCAGCUCGUCCAAAUCCAGACAUUUUAACCCUUUGCGU